GUUUGCACUGGUUAAGUCCUACAUAAGUCACACUAUUCUAGGCAGGAAUAGUUACAGUAGCCAUUAGAGUAUUAGUGCACAACUCUUAUUGUGCUUUUACAAUCAGAUGAUUUUGUUGUUGGGGUUAUCAAAAUGGUUUUUCAGUUUGGUCUUCAAUCCUUCCUUUGUUUUCUUUGUUUCACAUUGUUCUCAAGGGAAGAAAAGCUGUUUGUGUACCCGUUCACAGUGGCUGUAGAGCCAUUCUGAUACUCUUUCCUCCUCGAGGACGCCUUCUUGUUGUAAGUCUGAAUGUAGAAAUUUGUGAAGAGGAUAAUCAAAGAAAUCAUAUAAAAAAUCUGGAAAUACA
rnacentral:lncRNA from 1 species